UACGGAGGAUCCAAGCGUUAUCCGGAAUCAUUGGGUUUAAAGGGUCCGUAGGCGGUUUGGUAAGUCAGUGGUGAAAGCCCAUCGACUCAACGGUGGAAACGGCCAUUGAUACUGCCAGACUUGAAUUAUUAGGAAGUAACUAGAAUAUGUAGUGUAGCGGUGAAAUGCUUAGGGAUUACAUGGAAUACCAAUUGCGAAGGCAGGUUACUACUAAUGGAUUGACGCUGAUGGACGAA
rnacentral:rRNA from 1 species